rfam:Triticum aestivum genome assembly, contig: Triticum_aestivum_CS42_TGACv1_scaffold_223986_3B
AUUCUACUCCCUUCGUCCAGAGAUACUUUUCGCAGAAAUGCAUAAAAAUGGAUGUAUCUAAAACUAAAAUACGUCUAGAUACAUCCAUUCCUUUGACAAGUAUUUCCGGACGUAGGGAGUACUUG